GGUUUGUAGCUCAGUGGAAGAGCACUUGCCUAGCAUGUGUGAAGCACUGAGUUCGAUUCUCAGCACCA
rnacentral:tRNA from 1 species